rnacentral:rRNA from 1 species
CAGUAGCCGCGGGAACACGUAGGGUGCAAGCGUUAAUCGGAAUUACUGGGCGUAAAACGUGCGCAGGCGGUUUGUUAAGACAGAUGUGAAAUCCCCGGGCUCAACCUGGGAACUGCAUUUGUGACUGGCAAGCUAGAGUGUGGCAGAGGGGGGUGGAAUUCCGCGUGUAGCAGUGAAAUGCGUAGAUAUGCGGAGGAACACCGAUGGCGAAGGCAGCCCCCUGGGCCAACACUGACGCUCAUGCACGAAAGCGUGGGGAGCAAACAGGAUUAGAUACCCCCGUAGUCCCUGUCUCUUAUAC